GACGAACGCUGGCGGCGUGCCUAAUACAUGCAAGUAGAACGCUGAAGGAGGAGCUUGCUUCUCUGGAUGAGUUGCGAACGGGUGAGUAACGCGUAGGUAACCUGCCUGGUAGCGGGGGAUAACUAUUGGAAACGAUAGCUAAUACCGCAUAACAGUAGAUAUCGCAUGAUAUCUACUUGAAAGGUGCAAUUGCAUCACUACCAGAUGGACCUGCGUUGUAUUAGCUAGUUGGUGAGGUAACGGCUCACCAAGGCGACGAUACAUAGCCGACCUGAGAGGGGGAUCGGCAACACUGGGACUGGGCCACGGCCCAGACUCUUACGGGAGGAAGCAGAAGGGAAUCUUCGGAAAUGGACGGAAGUCUGACGGAGAAAGGCGGCGUGGGUAAGAAGGUUUUCGGAUCGUAAAGCUCUGUUGUAAGAGAAGAACGAGUGUGAGAGUGGAAAGUUCACACUGUGACGGUAUCUUAACAGAAAGGGACGGCUAACUACGUG
rnacentral:rRNA from 1 species